CAACGGCCAAGCAGGUCACCUCUCUGGGAGUCGGGCUUGGGUACCACUCAGGCUCCUCCUCAGGGGCACUCAGUUGGCUCUUCUCAGCCUUGGACUGAACCACACCUCAGAGACCCACCCUGAAGCCCCCUGCGGGCUCCUCUCUGGUGCUCUCCCAAGUCCCAAGCCUCUGCCUCUCUCCACCCAAUGUCCUCUUCUCUUUCUUCCUGCAGAAGCAGGCAGCUGGCAGCCAGGAAGACACCCAGAAUUCCCCUUGCUCCCAACACUGGCUCUCAGCCAUCCUUUGUGGGGAGGAGGGUGCCUCCCCGUAGCCCAGGCUGAACUUGUUGCACUGACAAAAACCAAAGAGAAGCAGAGGGUUUCAAUUCCCAUGCCAAAGUGGGUCCACCCCUCGGCGGGCUUGGCUCCCCUCCAGCCUCAGCAGCCCUUGACCUAACCCAGCACCAGGCUGGACGGCAGCUCCUGGACACUGCCCAAGCCCUUCCGGAGCAUGUCCUCUGCUAGGAGGCCCCACUCCAGCCGGCGGAUCUGUGCCAGUCCAGGGGCGACUGGGCCCUGGCAACAGAACAAAAGGGAAGACAAGGGCAUACAUCUUUGUGACCCAGCUGAGGAGGAGCUUGAAGCAGACACUGGCAGAUCCUCUGCUGAUGGAAUGAGUGAAAUGGACACAGGAGUCCCUCAAUGGACAGCACAGAUAGCAGAUUCCAGCCCAGCUGCCCCUCCUACCCUGGGGCCAGCCAUCCUCUUAGGGACCAACUGUGGCCCGGGGCUCCCUGUAGCCUGUCUCAACUCUUUUGUGUCUGUGCGGUGUUGGGGUUCAAACCUAGGGCCUCGUGCAUGCCAGGAAAACACUACCACUGAACUACACCCUCAACCUUGUCUGAUUGUUUUAAUUUUUUUGGUACUGGGGAUUGAAUCCAGGGGCACUUAACCAUUGAGUUACAUCCCCAGCCUUUAUAAUAUUUGAGACAAGGUCUCCCUAACUUGCUUAAGGCUUUACUAAGUUGAGGCUGGCUUUGAAAAACUUGGGAUCCUCCUCAGCCUCCUGAGUCACCGGGAUCACAGGUGAUACCUGCUAUUCUUGCUUGACUCUAUCGUUUCUAAAGAAUAGGCAGAACUUCUUCUGCCCAGGGGCCCUCCCUGGCUCCCACUGCCUGGGCCUAACCCCAAGGUUUCUUUGUUUGACUUGCAAGACCUCUGUAAAUCCCUCCUGACCUGCUUCCUGUUCUCUUUCCCCAGACCUAUGGUCACCCUGACCUUGUCCUCCACCAAAUGCACUGUACCACCUGCUUUCCCUGGCAUGCCCACUCCCACCCAGGUCAUCUGCCUGUAUGUCCCCCUCCCUAACUGCAUCAACUUGCCUCAGUUUUGACUGUUUCUUACUAGCUGUGUGAUCUUGAAUAAAGCCUCUAGCCUCUCUGAGCAGUA